rfam:Mesocestoides corti genome assembly, scaffold: MCOS_scaffold0000157
GCUUAAUUUGACUCAACACGGGAAAACCCACCCGGGCCGGACACUAUGAGGAUUGACAGAUUGAUAGCUCUUUCCUGAUUUGGUGGUUGGUGGUGCAUGGCCGUUCUUAGUUGGUGGAGCGAUUUGUCUGGUUACUUCCGAUAACGAACGAGACUCCAGCUCGCUGAUUAGUGCGUUUGUCCAAUACACCUGUGUAACCGGCGUCCGGCAGGGCUGCUCCUGUCUGCUAUCUUGGCGUGUAGCGUUGCUGUCGCUGGCGCCUUUGUCGUCAUAGCCGUUGUUGCCUAAGCUGCUGUCGCAGC